GACGAACGCUGGCGGCGUGCUUAACACAUGCAAGUCGAACGGAAAGGCCCUGCUUUUGUGGGGUGCUCGAUUGGCGAACGGGUGAGUAACACGUGAGUAACCUGCCCUUGACUUUGGGAUAACUUCAGGAAACUUGGGCUAAUACCGGAUAGGAGCUCCUGCUGCUUGGUGGGGGUUGGAAAGUUUCGGCGGUUGGGGAUGGACUCGCGGCUUAUCAGCUUGUUGGUGGGGUAGUGGCUUACCAAGGCUUUGACGGGUAGCCGGCCUGAGAGGGUGACCGGCCACAUUGGGACUGAGAUACGGCCCAGACUCCUACGGGAGGCAGCAGUGGCGAAUAUUGCACAAUGGGAGGAAGCCUGAUGCAGAAACGCAGCGUGCGGGAUGACGGCCUUCGGGUUGUAAACCGCUUUCGCCUGUGACGAAGCGUGAGUGACGGUAAUGGGUAAAGAAGCACCGGCUAACUACGUG
rnacentral:rRNA from 1 species